AAUCAACGCUGGCGGCGCGCCUAACACAUGCAAGUUGAACGAGAAAGCCGCAAGGUGAGUAAAGUAGCGUACGGGUGAGUAACACGUGGAUCAUCUACCCUCUAGUGGGGAAUACCUUUGGGAAACCGAAGACAAUACCGCAUAAGCUCGAGAGAGGAAACCAGCAAUGGGCUGGAGGAGGAGUCCGCGGUCGAUUAGUUAGUUGGCAGGGUAAAAGCCUACCAAGACUGUGAUCGAUAGCCGGCCUGAGAGGGCACACGGCCACACUGGCACUGAA
rnacentral:rRNA from 1 species